GUUUUAUUUUCAUCUGAUUAUCUGAUCCAGCAAAUCGCCCAUUCCCUCUCAGCACUCAGAUCACAUCUCUGAUGGACUGGUUGCCAUCCUGCAGUAGAAGGAUGUGUGACUCCAAAUUCAGAGUCGAGAUGAAUACUCCCUCUGGUGGUAUGGGUGGCAGAAGUAGGCUUGGAAACAUACCCCUCAAACUUGGGAUAAAGGCAUUUCUCACAAAUAUAGGCUACUGACUGUUUUUAAACUGAGAUGGGAGUUUAAGUGAUGUUUCAUGUGAUCUGUUGUCUAAAGGCUGACUACAGUGGAAUCUAUACUCCGCUCAAAGUAACUGUCAUAAUAAAGGGAACAUGAGACAUUGAGGAGGAGAGCACAUCCUAUACACUGUCAUUGUCCAGAUGUUUCCACAGCUGCAAGAAUUUGAAACUGCACUGGUUGCUUCUUCAACAUAGGAUGUAGGUUUCCAGGCCACCCACAAGAAUUUCUGUGCUCAAAGGAUGAAUAAUUAGCCUUACUUCUUUUUUUUUUAAAGAGACAACCAGUUGAAUGUUAGGGAACUUACAGUGCAGCACAAGUCCCAAAUCCUGGAGGAAGGAGCAACAGUGAUUUACACUGGAAAGGAGAGGAAUAAAACACGAAUGGAUAAGGGUCAGAAUGGAGCAGUGAGAAAAAUCACAGUCCACAGAGAUGACUUGCUGCGACUCCCUGACCUGCAGACGUGGAGCGAGGAGCUGGCAGAGCUGACUGGUCAAAGUCAACCAACCAACCACCUUCUGGAUGACCUUCUCCUUCCAGACAAGGCAGAGGGGACUGGCAUUAAUCAGCUGAAGACGUGCCAUCACACCUGUUGGCAUCAGACAUUUUUAAUUAUUGAGUAAUUAAAUAGCUUGAGAUUUUAAUUAUGCCAUUAGGUAGAGAUGUGCACUGCACAUUAUUCUGUCAGUAUAUGCCAAAUCAUAAUGGAAUAAGGUCAGACUGGAUUUAGGAUGGAAGCAUAUUUUUAUUUAAAUAACUAAAUUGAAUGAUAAGCAAACAUACAUGGUUAUUUGACAGAGGCAUCUUAUAUUUUCUCAUUGCUUUUGUUCUUUUUGAGUGCUGUAUUCUAUUUUUGUGUGGGCAUGCUAAUUGCCAAACAAUUGUAUUUUUAAUCAAAGGAAAUGAAAGUCUCAUGCACAUUGUUUUGAUUCAACAAUUUUAGGCUCGAGGCAUCACUCCUGCCAAAUGGAUAGGCCUGGGGAUAUUUAAGAGUCAGGAAAAUAGCCCACAGAUGGAGUAUUGUGCAUUUCUAUAUUAUGAUAAAAAUGCAAAAAGAUGCUGUGAAUUCUACCCCCCCCCCCCCGAGAUAUGUCUUAUCGGAGUCCAUUAUUCUCUGCUGGUGUAUGGCAGAGCAGAGGAAUGAGCUCAAUUAGGUGAGGAAAUGAGAGGAGAGGAGGAAUUUGGACCCCAGUGUUUGGAGAGAAAGAAAAUGAAACAUCGGAGGAAGGUCAAGAGAACAUAAGAAAGGAGCAGUGGGGAAUGAGGGAACAGAAGAGAGAGAAAGGAGGGAGAUGUAGAGAGUGAGACAGAGAGGAUGAGAAAGUGAAACUAUGUUGUCAUGGAAACUGGCAUGGAUCUGAAGAGCAAAACAAGAAUGUAAAUUGGUUUACCCUUAGGGAAUGUGAUGGCGCUACAGGGAAGAAAUAAGCACGCAGAUGUAUUUAAGGGAGGACCCUCCACAACAUUAUAUCUAAAUAAAGAGAUUUGGAACAAAAAUAGAUUUAUAUCAGUAAUGAUGAUGCCAUAUGUAUAUGGCUUUAAAUACAGAGGCUUAAUGUAUUGACUCCCAGCAUCUGUUAGACAAAGGCAGUUGUGGUCACUACUCAUCUCUUUUGGCAGAACAGUUAAUUACAAAUGACUAAUUAAAAAAAUGCGUCCAUCUGAGAGGCGCAGAGUUCCGUCUGA